rnacentral:lncRNA from 1 species
CUGCCCUUUGACAGGUUCCACUCCACUUCGUGAGAAAAAAUAAUUUUCAUUUUGCCAAUUAUUUAAGAUAAAUGUGUGCAGGCAGAGGCGCUUAUAGAAAAAGCUCUAAUCAGAACACAUUACAGGAGUCUGUGAAUCAGACAGGUGACUUUUACUACAGGUGAGAAUAUAUUGCUUAGAAUAUGAAAACAUGUUAAGUCAGCUGGAGCUCUUAAAUAUUUAAGGUUCAUUAAAAGUUUGGCUUCAUAAACUAAACAACAUAUAAAAUGUAGGUUCAGUUACAUAUGGGAGAGAAAAAUGAAGUGUUGACCUAAAGACAAAGAAGUGUAUUCAGACUAAAUUAACCUAACAUCAUUUUCCACCUGGUCAUCCAAUCCAGAUUGCAUCUCCUAGUUAACAAGAGCUUCACUUUAGCCUCUUGGAGCCAGGAGAUUGCAACAAUCCAGAAAAAAAAAAAAAUGGCUUUUGCCCAUUUAGGAAUGUUUUGACUCACCACAGUUGAGCAAUCAGAAAGUCACUUGGUUAAGUAGCAGCUUUGGGCUGGUCCUCGUGCAGUGGUGUUUACAACUAAUUGAUCAUAACCGGUUACAGAUUUCUUUGAUCCUUUUCCACUCCCACUGCUUUAUUUGACUAGCCUUUAAAAGGAAAAAAGGAGGUUUGAUUUUCAGUAUUGUGACACAUUAAUAGAUUAAUGCCAUAAUUCUUCAGAAAAUUUUAAAAAUUAGAUUUAAUUCAGGAAAGAAAUGCUAGAAAACCUGAACCUAAACCAAGACUACAUCAAAUGUGCUCGUGUAAACCUACCUGUGGGGUUUCUGUGCUCUUUUAGAUAUCUUCCAAUUUUUUUUUUUACUUUGAAAUGUUUGUCUAAUUUAAUAGCUAGAUUAUUGCUAAAAAUUAAUAAACCAGCAUCUUAAUCAUAACUCUAUAAUAUUCUUCUGAUUAACCACUGAACAAAAUUUCUUCUCCUUUCGCUCACCUCACUCUACCCACCAGGGGAUAGACAAAUUCCAAGUCAGAAUCACAUCUCACUAGAAUCUAGUAUUGAUGAGCUCCCAAAGUGACAGAAAGGAAAGGGAUUUUCCUUCCCUCUUAGUUUAGUCGAUCUCUAAGGCAGAUGGUUAAUUCAUUGCACCUGUAACCAAUUAGCCAUUCAAAACAACUGAUUCUUCACAGUAAAUUGUUGCCUUGCCAAUCUGAGAAGCAGGUGCAUAUUCAAUGGCUAAAUUGCCAAGUGGUUGGAUACACAAGAUGAAAUCAUCCAAAUACAAAAUUCUGUUAGAUAAAUGUGUGGAAAAAUAUGAUCAGUUAUAAUUCCAUUCUAAAUUAAGAAUUUAAUUAUUUCAAGUUUUGAAUCACAGCUCUGAGAAUUUUAUUUUUUUGAUUCUGAUAUUUGGCUACUGAAUUAAGCAGAUGUUUUUUCAAUGAAAAUUAACUUUUUAAAAAAACAAGACUUAGAAUUUUAUUUUUCUUCUUUCUAGAAACAAUGGGUUUUGAUUAUAAUAAACAUAUUAACACAUAUUUCAUUAUAUAGUGAUUCAUUUAAUGCAUCUGCUUUAAAAUGGAUACCUUUAUAUGAAAGAUUUAACUUCCAGCCAAGGCACCUAAUUAAUUAUAUUGAACUGAGUAUAGUAUAGCCACUCUCAUUCUGUGGAAUGAAAAUCUAUGUGGCUUAUUUUAUUACUAUAGUGCUAAUAUUAUAAACUUCAUAGACCUGAACCAUUUUAUCCUAGAAAAUUAUUCAAUAAAAAAUUCCAUCUUUCUCACGUAUGUUUUUUGAAUACAUGGAAAGGGUCCACUGACACUUUUUCUGGGCAGCCACUUGUCUACACAAUCCAAUCUAAAUGUCCCAAAUUCUGUCUGCAUUUUCCAUCAGAAUUGCUUGAUGGUAAGCGUAUUAGUCCAUUUUCACACUACCUGAGACUGGGUAAUUUAUAAACAAAAGAGGUUUAAUUGACUCACAGUUCCACAUGGGUGGGAAGGCCUCAGGAAAUGUACAAUCAUGGUGGAAGGCAAAGGGGAAGCUGGUACCUUCUUCACAAGGCAGCAGGAGAGGGAGAGAGCGCAGGGAAACUGCCACUUAUAAAACCAUCAGAUCUCAUGAGAACUCACUCACUAUCAUGAGAACAGCAUGGGGAAAACAACCCUUAUGAUCCAAUCACCUCCCACCAGGACCUCCCUCAACAUGUGGGGAUUACAGUUCAAUAUGAGAUUUGGGUGGCAACACAGAGCCAAAACAUAUCAGUAAGGAAUCACUUUCAAGAAGAGUAUCAGACCCUGUUCAGUUGGCACCAGGAUCUUAUUCAUACCUUCCCAUCUCAGGAAUUGGCCUGGAGGGUAUUUAUAUGGGUAGACUAUGGUCACAUUCCUGUAACAAAUAAGGACUCUUCAAACAGUUCAACCAGAACCCUGUUUGUAGAGGGAGGAGAUACUAUAUGAAAGGUAACCAAACUCUAACUGGAUAAUUCAGGUAGCAUCACUAUCCUACUAUCCUAUCUCAAAACCCAGGAUAGACACAUGGGAGGCAUCUUUAAAUUAAUCCCUCCCUUUCCACAUCUUACAUAUCUCCAAUCCUUUGGAUACUAUUUUCCACGUUUCUGGUGUUUUCAUUCUUAUAGGCAUUUUUCUUACGCCUUUUUUUUCCAACUGAUUUAUUCAAAAUAUUCACACAUCUCUUUACUUAUUUAUCUAAUAAAUACGGACCAAAUAUCCAGCAAGGGCCAGGAAUGAGAAAGAAAAUAGAGAAUGGUGAAUAAGGCAGA